rnacentral:rRNA from 1 species
GAUGAACGCUGGCGGCGUGCCUAACACAUGCAAGUCGAACGAAGCACCUUACCUGAUUCUUCGGAUGAAAGUUUGGUGACUGAGUGGCGGACGGGUGAGUAACGCGUGGGUAACCUGCCCUGUACAGGGGGAUAACAGCUGGAAACGGCUGCUAAUACCGCAUAAGCGCACGAGGAGACAUCUCCUUGUGUGAAAAACUCCGGUGGUACAGGAUGGGCCCGCGUCUGAUUAGCUGGUUGGCAGGGUAACGGCCUACCAAGGCAACGAUCAGUAGCCGGUCUGAGAGGAUGAACGGCCACAUUGGAACUGAGACACGGUCCAAACCCCUACGGGAGGCAGCAGUGGGGAAUAUUGCACAAUGGGGGAAACCCUGAUGCAGCAACGCCGCGUGAGUGAAGAAGUAUUUCGGUAUGUAAAGCUCUAUCAGCAGGGAAGAUAAUGACGGUACCUGACUAAGAAGCUCCGGCUAAAUACGUG